GAUGAACGCUGGUGGCGUGCCUAAUACAUGCAAGUCGAGCGAACAGACGAGGAGCUUGCUCCUCUGACGUUAGCGGCGGACGGGUGAGUAACACGUGGAUAACCUACCUAUAAGACUGGGAUAACUUCGGGAAACCGGAGCUAAUACCGGAUAAUAUAUUGAACCGCAUGGUUCAAUAGUGAAAGACGGUUUUGCUGUCACUUAUAGAUGGAUCCGCGCCGCAUUAGCUAGUUGGUAAGGUAACGGCUUACCAAGGCAACGAUGCGUAGCCGAACUGAGAGGGUGAUCGGCCACACUGGAACUGAGACACGGUCCAGACUCCUACGGGAGGCAGCAGUAGGGAAUCUUCCGCAAUGGGCGAAAGCCUGACGGAGCAACGCCGCGUGAAUGAUGAAGGUCUUCGGAUCGUAAAACUCUGUUAUUAGGGAAGAACAAAUGCGUAAGUAACUAUGCACGUCUUGACGGUACCUAAUCAGAAAGCCACGGCUAGCUACGUG
rnacentral:rRNA from 1 species